rnacentral:rRNA from 1 species
AUGAUGAUGCAGGGGAGAACGUCCAGGUGGUUGGCAAGAUGCCCAACCAAUGUGACUGCAAUGGCAAUGAUCACCAUGGUGCCGACACUGACGACAACACGCAUGGGUCAGGUGGUGAUAGCGACAAUGAUGCACACGACAAGGGCGGAGAUCCCGACAAUGACAUCGACAACGAGGCACAUGAUGAUGGCGAUAAUCAAGAUGAUGGUCAAGUACGUCGACAACGCGGAUGCCGACGACAUGGCAUCUACCACGCCCUGGACUCGGCCAUGUUCCUCAAGUGCAUCGAUGCCGACACAAUUUAUGUCGCCUCCUUCGCAAGCCACAACGGAUUUUUCUGGGCCACGUCGCUACAAGACCCUGAAGAGAGUCUACAAGUACGCAAAGCCAAUUACUCUCGAGUACUCCAGACUAUGUUUGCUUGGAGUUGAGGAGCCGUCGAACUUCGUAGAGGCGAGCAAAAUUCCUAGUUGGACGCGCGCCAUGGAUGAGGAGAGGAAGGCCAUCGAGAGCAAUGACACGUGGACUUUGGUAACCCGACCUUGCAACCAAAAGGCCAUAUGUUUGAAGUGGGUUUACAAGUUAAAGAAGGACACGAAGGGUGCCAUUGUGAAGUACAAGAAAAGACUCAUUGCAAAGGGCUACAUACAAUGUCAAGGAGUUGAGUAUGAGGAGGUGUUUGCACCGGUUGCUUGA